UUUCCCGUAAGGCGCCGAAUGAGUCAUUAAAAAAUUAAACAUCAUCCGAUCCCUAGUCGGGCAUAGUUUAUGGUUAAGACUACGACGGUAUCUGAUCGUCUUCGAUCCCCUAACUUUCGUUCUUGAUUAAUGAAAACAUCCUUGGCAAAUGCUUUCGCAGUAGUUAGUCUUCAAUAAAUCCAAGAAUUUCACCUCUGACAAUUGAAUACUAAUGCCCCCAACUAUCCCUAUUAAUCAUUACGUCAAUCCUAGAAACCAACAAAAUAGGAUCAAACGUCCUAUUUCAUUAUUCCAUGCUAAUGUAUUCAAGCGUUAGCUUGCUUUAAACACUCUAAUUUUUUCAAAGUAACAGUCCUGUUUCCCUGCAACACCAAAUUAAUGACAUUACAGUUCUUCAGAAAGGAGGAAUCAGCGAAACCAGUGCGUACCAGAGGCACGACCAACCUGCUGACCCCGAAAUUCAACUACGAGCUUUUCAACUGCAACAACCUUUAAUAUACGCUAUUGGGAGCUGGAAUUACCGCGGCUGCUGGCACCAGACUUGCCCCUCCCAA
rnacentral:rRNA from 1 species